UGUUUUACAGUCACUGGCAAUCCUUUUGGCUUAAUCCUUUAUAGAGCGCUCAUAUAACACAUUGGCUCCAGCCUCCCAAUUGGACGUCUAUCAUUGUCAUACAAGGAGUUAAAUACAGAGGUGGGUACUAAUGCGUUACAUUUACCUAGUUACAAUUACUUGAGUAACUUUUUGAGAAAAAAAAUUUACUUCUUAGCAAGUGCGUAGAUUUGCAUAGGGACGGUAGGGACAUGACACUACCAACUUUUCAGGACGCUCAAAUUGUCCCCACCAACUUUUAAGCAACCUUAUUCGUAUUAUAUCGUGAGUUCAGCUAUAUAGGUAAUUUAGAUUGUCUUUCCAUAUGUUGUAUGGAUAGAAUUGACCCUACCAUUAUUAAGUGAAUUACUUUCAUUAUGUUCAGGCUGAUAUUUUUCCCUUUUCACUUUCUGAAUGUGCCAGUCCAUUUUUUUUCCUCAAAACACACGCUUACUGGCUGAUGACAGGACCCCCCCCCCCACACGCACUUACAGCCCAGACAGAAAUACAACAUGUCGACCGCCCCUUUCGAAGACGAGGGAUAUUAGAAUUUUAUUUCAGCCAGCAACAACAGCAGCAGCAGCAGCAGCAGCAACCACUGUGGCGGGGGCAGCAGCUUUAGCAGGGAAGCCCAGACUUCCCUCUCCCCAGCCACUUCAACCAACUCCUCUGGCGGGAUCCCAAGGCGUUCCUAGGCCAGCCGAUAGAUAUGGUCUCUCCAGUGUGUCCUGGUUUGUCCCUGGGGCCUCCCACCAGUGGGACAUGCUUAAAACACCUCGUAAGUGAGGCGUCCAAAACAGUGGCUACCUCAGCUGGCUUCUUUCAACGCGGAGGAGUAGCGGCUCGACCCUGAGUCCGUCCCGGAUGACCGAGCUUCUCACCUCAUCUCUAAGGGAUUUUGGCCGCUUGUAUCCAUCUUGACUAUAUGUGAGGGUAGGAACGUACAGCGACUGGUAAAUCGAUUCAACUUUUGGCUCAGCUCCUUCCUCACCACAAGGUACCGGUGUGGAGUCGGCACUGCUGCAGACACUGCACCAAUCCGCCUAUCGAUCUCCAGCUCCCUCCUGCACGCAUUUAUGAACAAGACCCCAAGAUACAGAAACUCCUCCACUAGGAUGAGGAUCUCAUCCCCGACCCGAAGAGAGCACACCACCCUUUUCUGACUGAGGACCUUGGUCUCGGAUUUGGAGGUGCUGAUCUUCAUCCGAAUUGCCUCAAACUCGGCUGCGAACCGCUCCAGUGAGAGUUGAAGUUCACGGCUUGAUGAAGUGAGCAGCACCAAAUCAUCUGCAAAAAGCAGAGAUGUAAUGCUGGUACCACCAAACUGGACACCCUCAAUGCUUCGGCUACGCCUACAUGUUCUGUCUAUAAAAGUUAUGAUCAGAAUCGUUGGCGGAGUCCAACCCUCACUGAGAACAAAUUCGACUUACUGCUGGCAAUGCGGACCAGACUCUGACACCGGUCUUACAGGGACCGAACAGCUCUUACCAAGGAGUUCGGUACCCGGUACGCCUAAAGCACCCCCCACACCACUCCCCAAGGGACAAGGUCGUACGCCUUUUCCAAAUCCACAAAAAACGUAGACUGUUUGACGAACUUCCAUGCAUCCUCAAGGACCCUGUAGAGCUAGUCCACUGCUACACGACCGGGGCAAAAACCACUGUACCUCCUGAAUCCGAGAUUCGACUUCCUGACGGACCUACAGCACCAGAGGAUCUGUGUUGGAACUUAUUCAAAUUUGUGUUGAUUCGAUUCAACACUUCACAAGCUUAAAAUGUGAUUAAUUUUGAACACAACCACAUUCCCAGUAACUAGUAAGUUUCAGAUUUCUACUACUGCUCGAUUUUUUUUUCCCAAGUGGUUCAUACAGGUUAUUGGUCAUAUUAAUAGUUGGAAAAUGUUUUUAAAUUAUUUUUAUAUUAUAUAUAUAUCAUUUUUACUUGGCAUUAUGACAGGGAUGUGCAAACUUUUCAUAUUCACUGUAGGAUAAUGAGAAGCAAACAAGUACAGUAAUUGUGUUCUUUAAAUUAGGGUUUCGUUGUUCCUGGCAAUGUAUGCCCAACUUUCUCAAAUUCCAAAACGAUUGAUCAUUUUAGGUCUAACAAUGAAUUAUACUGUAAUUCAUAAAUUUGUGUAAUUAAGCAUAUACUGUAGAUAAAAGAAUUACUCCUAAUAUUUGUUCCUGCACUGCAGUGCAGUCUCCAUGUUCAUCAGACCUACGUGUUGCUUUCUUUGGAAACUGUGCUCAGCCUUUUCCGAUGUAAUGACAGUCAACAACAAAAAAAUUCCAACAUGACAAAUGAAAUUUCAACAGCUUUUUAUUCUUCCCCAUUUUUAACAAUUACAAUCAAAAUAAAGGAUAUUUUCACCCAUUGCGUAUAUCCAUGUGACGUAUAGAUGACUAUACAUUAUGACUUCUGGACAAGCUUGUCUUUUUUUCCCGCAAAAGGUUGAGGCAAACGAUACAGGUUAUACAGUAACACAGAGUACAAAUCAUUGCAUGGGGUAGUAUGAGCAAAAACACAGCACAACUUGAAAGAGAAAAGACAACAGGAGGACAAUAAAAUUACAUACAAUAGACAAAAUAUUAAACCAAUAUAAUAGAAAAUAAUAUUAAUAAAAAUAGUGACCACAGUAUACAAGUGAUCAAGACAACUUUACAUUUAUACAUAGUGGCCAGAGGCAGGCACCAGGCAGUCAAACUGUAGAAUAGAUUGUGAUUUACUGUAGAUUUAGCGCUGCUGCUUGAGUUCAGUUCACAGCGUGCUUGAUAAGUCAUCAGCCAAUGCCUGGACAAGCAGAGACGGCACAAUAAAAGAGGCACCUUAUGAGGAGGAAAUUGGGAGCAGCUUUGCUGGUUUGAGUUUAGUCAUAUUUCUUUUAUUAGACACCUACAAUUUAGGGUGUAUCCAUUCUGUCAAACGAGUGGCUAACAAGGCUCUCCUUGUGCUUGUCAGCAUUGUACCACCGUAUAGCCUUGAUCGAUAUGACAAUUGGAGCGUUUUUGGAGUUGUAAAGAUCAAAUAAGUUCAUCUAUUCAUUCAAAAAGGUGUUUUUUUUAAUUGCUUGAAAUUUUUGAGGCAUUUACUUUUAUCUUAAAAAUUUAGUACGUAAAAGUUGAAGACUUCUGCAUUCGACAGAUUUUUUUGUGUGUUUUUGCCACAUUUUCUUUUAAAAUAUAUACCUCAUAUA